UGGGAAGGCUUCAUAGGACAGGGAUCCCU
rnacentral:piRNA from 1 species